rnacentral:lncRNA from 1 species
CCAUGACGCUACCAAGAGGAAACGGAAGCGUCUGGUAGAAGUAAAGGGUAAAGGGGUAACAAGGCACCGAAAAGCUAGCUCCCCCUCCUCAAGAACAUCCGAACUUAAAGCCUGGAACCCGGUCAAAUCGAAAACUCUUUGUGGGAAUGCUAAGCAAGCAACAAACUGAAGAGGAUGUUAGACAAUUGUUUGCCCCAUUUGGAACAAUAGAGGAAUGCACAAUUCUAAAAGGACCUGACGGAGCCAGUAAAGGUUGUGCUUUUGUGAAAUACAGUACACAUCAAGAAGCACAAGCAGCUAUUAACAGCUUGCAUGGUAGUCAGACUA